UGUUCAAAGACCCUCUAUCCCCA
rnacentral:tRNA from 1 species